UGGGGAAUAUUGCACAAUGGGCGCAAGCCUGAUCCAGCCAUGCCGCGUGAGUGAUGAAGGCCCUAGGGUUGUAAAGCUCUUUCACCGGUGAAGAUAAUGACGGUAACCGGAGAAGAAGCCCCGGCUAACUUCGUGCCAGCAGCCGCGGUAAUACGAAGGGGGCUAGCGUUGUUCGGAUUUACUGGGCGUAAAGCGCACGUAGGCGGACUAUUAAGUCAGGGGUGAAAUCCCGGGGCUCAACCCCGGAACUGCCUUUGAUACUGGUAGUCUUGAGUUCGAGAGAGGUGAGUGGAAUUCCGAGUGUAGAGGUGAAAUUCGUAGAUAUUCGGAGGAACACCAGUGGCGAAGGCGGCUCACUGGCUCGAUACUGACGCUGAGGUGCGAAAGCGUGGGGAGCAAACAGG
rnacentral:rRNA from 1 species